GUGAGGUAAUGGCUUACCAAGGCUAUGAUCUAUAGCUGGUCUGAGAGGACGAUCAGCCACACUGGAACUGAGAUACGGUCCAGACUCCUACGGGAGGCAGCAGUGGGGAAUAUUGGACAAUGGGCGAAAGCCUGAUCCAGCUAUGCCGCGUGAGUGAAGAAGGCCUUCGGGUUGUAAAACUCUUUCAAUAGGGAAGAUAAUGACGGUACCUAUAGAAGAAGUCCCGGCAAACUCUGUGCCAGCAGCCGCGGUAAUACGGAGGGGGCAAGCGUUGUUCGGAAUUAUUGGGCGUAAAGGGCACGUAGGUGGACUAGUAAGUUAAAAGUGAAAUACCAAAGCUUAACUUUGGAGCGGCU
rnacentral:rRNA from 1 species